CCUCAUCUCUACAGUGAGACCUUGGGAAGGUGGAAUCACCUGCGUGCCUCACUGCUCUUACCCCCAACAAAGCGUGACACACAGAGACAUGAAAGCUGUCCACUUUCCUCUGUAAAUGGUUCUACCCAGGAAGACAUCAUUUUACCUACCAGGGACCCUUCUGGAGCCACACUGGGUUGGAGCAGCAGAAGCGCACCAAGAUUAUUCUUUCCCUAACAAUAGGGAAGAGGUCCAGGUCAAAGCAGAAAACUGGCCCCUGAUACAGAUGGAGGGACAGUCUUAGCUCACUCAUGACAUCACCCACCCACUGAUAAAGAAGAGCCUGAGUCUCAGGAUGCUACAAGGCUCUUCUGAGAGCCAGACAUGUCUGGGGACAUCCCUAGCAGCCUGGGAGGAAUCCUGGGACAGACACUUAAAACACACCAAUCUGUCUGCUGCUGAGUGAUCAGACACCCUCGGAUUUCCCACCACUGCACCGUGAUGUUUCAGACAAGUUGUUUCUCCUUGAAAUAAAAGAAGCACUCUUGUGCUUAUCACUGUGA